AGCGAACGCUGGCGGCAGGCCUAACACAUGCAAGUCGAACGAAGCCUUCGGGCUCAGUGGCGGACGGGUGAGUAACACGUGGGAACGUACCUUUUGGUUCGGAACAACUCAGGGAAACUUGAGCUAAUACCGGAUGAGCCCUUAGGGGGAAAGAUUUAUCGCCGAAAGAGCGGCCCGCGUUAGAUUAGCUAGUUGGUGAGGUAAAGGCUCACCAAGGCUACGAUCUAUAGCUGGUCUGAGAGGAUGAUCAGCCACACUGGGACUGAGACACGGCCCAGACUCCUACGGGAGGCAGCAGUGGGGAAUCUUGCGCAAUGGGCGAAAGCCUGACGCAGCCAUGCCGCGUGAAUGAUGAAGGUCUUAGGAUUGUAAAAUUCUUUUACCAGGGACGAUAAUGACGGUACCUGGAGAAAAAGCCCCGGCUAACUUCGUGCCAGCCGCCGCCGCAGUAA
rnacentral:rRNA from 1 species